GCUGCUCUGAUAAUCGCGAACCUCUACACAGUGAGCAGCAGGCAACAAUCUAAGGAUCGGCUGAGAUGUGAAG
rnacentral:ribozyme from 1 species